CGAAGGGUGCAAGCGUUACUCGGAAUUACUGGGCGUAAAGCGUGCGUAGGUGGUGAGUUAAGUCUGUCGUGAAAGCCCCGGGCUCAACCUGGGAAUGGCGAUGGAUACUGGCUCACUAGAGUGCGGUAGAGGAGAGUGGAAUUCCCGGUGUAGCAGUGAAAUGCGUAGAGAUCGGGAGGAACAUCAGUUGCGAAGGCGGCUCUCUGGACCAGCACUGACACUGAGGCACGAAAGCGUGGGGAGCAAACAGGAUUAGAUACCCUGGUAGUCCACGCCCUAAACGAUGCGAACUGGACGUUGGGAGCAAUCAGGCUCUCAGUGUCGAAGCUAACGCGUUAAGUUCGCCGCCUGGGGAGUACGGUCGCAAGACUG
rnacentral:rRNA from 1 species